AGCAGCCGCGGUAAUUCCAGCUCCAAUAGCGUAUAUUAAAGUUGUUGCAGUUAAAAAGCUCGUAGUUGAAUUUCGGGGACCAACUUGUUGGUCGUGCCUCGGUACGUACUGGUAUUAUUGGUUUCUCCCUUCUGAAGAACCUCGAUGCCAUUAAUUUGGUGUCGUGGGGAAUCAGGACUGUUACUUUGAAAAAAUUAGAGUGUUUAAAGCAAGCAUACGCUUGAAUACAUUAGCAUGGAAUAAUGAAAUAGGACGUUUGAUUCUAUUUUGUGGUUUCUAGGUAUCGACGUAAUGAUUAAUAGGGAUAGUUGGGGGCAUUAGUAUUCAAUU
rnacentral:rRNA from 1 species